AGUGAACGCUGGCGGUAGGCCUAACACAUGCAAGUCGAACGGCAGCACAGUAAGAGCUUGCUCUUACGGGUGGCGAGUGGCGGACGGGUGAGGAAUACAUCGGAAUCUACUUUUUCGUGGGGGAUAACGUAGGGAAACUUACGCUAAUACCGCAUACGACCUACGGGUGAAAGCAGGGGAUCUUCGGACCUUGCGCGAUUGAAUGAGCCGAUGUCGGAUUAGCUAGUUGGCGGGGUAAAGGCCCACCAAGGCGACGAUCCGUAGCUGGUCUGAGAGGAUGAUCAGCAACACUGGAACUGAGACACGGUCCAGACUCCUACGGGAGGGAGCAGUGGGGAAUAUUGGACAAUGGGCGCAAGCCUGAUCCAGCCAUACCGCGUGGGUGAAGAAGGCCUUCGGGUUGUAAAGCCCUUUUGUUGGGAAAGAAAAGCAGCAGGUUAAUACCCCGCUGUUCUGACGGUACCCAAAGAAUAAGCACCGGCUAACUUCGUG
rnacentral:rRNA from 1 species